GAUUUCUGCCCCGGGCGCGUCGCAGCCCCGGACCAAGGCGCCCGCCGGAGGACCAAUUUACAAACUCUUUGUAUGUCCCUUUGCGGAUUUUUAUUAUACAUUCUGAGCUUUCUCGGCGCUCCUAGCGAGCGUUUCGAAAAUGAAUCAAAACUUUCAACAACGGAUCUCUUGGUUCUGGCAUCGAUGAAGAACGCAGCGAAAUGCGAUAAGUAAUGUGAAUUGCAGAAUUCAGUGAAUCAUCGAAUCUUUGAACGCACAUUGCGCCCGCCAGUAUUCUGGCGGGCAUGCCUGUCCGAGCGUCAUUUCAACCCUCGAACCCCUCCGGGGGGUCGGCGUUGGGGAUCGGCCUUCUACCGGCCGGCCCCGAAAUACAGUGGCGGUCUCGCCGCAGCCUCUCCUGCGCAGUAGUUUGCACACUCGCACCG
rnacentral:misc_RNA from 1 species